AACAUCAGACACUCUCAAAUAACAUCAAAUUUAAGAACCCAGAAAAAAAUAUACUGUGUGAUCAUGAGUGAUAGCGUCGAUUCCGGAGAAGAGAGCCUAGAUAAAGAAGGUCUCUGAUGAACUGUGGGACGUAGAAGAGAAUGCCAUGCUCCAGAGUCUGAAUCGCAUAGAACAAGAUGAGAAAACUUCCCUUCCACUUUCAUCUAACAAUACAACUUAAACUGUUUUACUUUUAAAUUCUCAGUUUCCUGGUUUUAUCUUUUUUCUUCCUCCCUUUGUAUUAUUUAAAAAGUCUAAUAAGUGUGUUGCUAAUUC